GACGAACGCUGGCGGCGUGCUUAACGCAUGCAAGUCGAGCGGAAAGGCCCUUCGGGGUACUCGAGCGGCGUACGGGUGAGUAACACGUGAGCAACCUGCCCUUGGCUUUGGGAUAACCCUCGGAAACGGGGGCUAAUACCGAAUAUCCAUCUUUCAUCGCAUGGUGGUUGGUGGAAAGUUUUUCGGCCAGGGAUGGGCUCGCGGCCUAUCAGCUUGUUGGUGGGGUGAUGGCCUACCAAGGCGACGACGGGUAGCCGGCCUGAGAGGGCGACCGGCCACACUGGGACUGAGACACGGCCCAGACUCCUACGGGAGGCAGCAGUGGGGAAUAUUGCACAAUGGGCGGAAGCCUGAUGCAGCGACGCCGCGUGAGGGAUGACGGCCUUCGGGUUGUAAACCUCUUUCAGCAGGGACGAAGCGAAAGUGACGGUACCUGCAGAAGAAGCGCCGGCCAACUACGUGCCAGCAGCCGCGGUAAGACGUAGGGCGCGAGCGUUGUCCGGAUUUAUUGGGCGUAAAGAGCUCGUAGGCGGCUUGUCGCGUCGACUGUGAAAACCCGUGGCUCAACCAUGUGGUCUGCAGUCGAUACGGGCAGGCUAGAAUUCGGUAGGGGAGACUGGAAUUCCUGGUGUAGCGGUGAAAUGCGCAGAUAUCAGGAGGAACACCGUUGGCGAAGGCGGGUCUCUGGGCCGAUAUUGACGCUGAGGAGCGAAAGCGUGGGGAGCGAACAGGAUUAGAUACCCUGGUAGUCCACGCUGUAAACGUUGGGCGCUAGGUGUGGG
rnacentral:rRNA from 1 species